CGCUACCGAAAUACAAGUGUAAGGUUGGCAUUACUGCACCGCCAUAUUGAUGAAAAAAGGAGUCGUCGUUUCUUGAUUUCUUGGCGUGUGGCGCUGGAAUUUUCUGCAUUAAAUAAUAUAAAUUCGCUGCGUAUCGUUCAGUAAUUGUGUGAGUUUUAUAAAAUCGGUAGAUUUGCGUCAAUCGGUGUGAUCUAAACGUAUUUACGUGUGCUGUAAAAGUCGUUUCAAGUACGGCGAGUGUUGGAUCUUCAUCGACGUCGCAAGCGAAGCGGAGAAGAACCGUAAUUGGUUUUUGUUUUAAAUUAAACUGUUUCAAAAGCUGUUGCUUUGCCGUGUAAUUGAGUGUUGAGGACCUAUAUGUCGGUUUACACAGAACAUGUGUAUAAACAAUCAGUUUCUUCAACUUAACAUUAAAUCUACACUGCAGCAACAACAACAAUAACAACACUUUGAAUCAUAAAUUUUGGAAAGCAAAAGUAAAUUAAAUGAACAUUUUUGUGCAAUUGAAUCAAAUUCAAACGGAGCUAAAAAAUACACAUACACCUAUACAACAACAAUAACAAGAACAUACACAAUCAAAAGUUUAGAUAAAGCAAAGGAUAUACAAAGAAAUCAAGAGCUGGAGCAUUAAAUACAAGAAAUCAAUUCUAAUAUUCAACUACUCCUACAUCAAGCCCAACAAUUGAGAAUAUAGCAGAAAAGCAAAUACACAAUUCGGCUGAUUAACCGUGUUGUUGCUACCUAAAAGCACAGCUACGCAUCUAAAAUUUAACGCACAUCACGCCGCGCAUUAGUUCUCCUGCUUCCCCACAAGGCAAACAAAGAAAAAAGGGGGUUCUGUGUAGACUAACCUCUUACUGAAAUUGAAGUCGAUUUUGCAGUGCAAAUUCAAUUCAAAGAAAUAAACAACUAAAAAAAAACAACACAGAAAGUUGUUGCCAAAGCAGUAGCUUAAAACCGAAGAAAUCCAAGCAAAAUUAGCGCGCCCGUAGCAGUUGGUACAAAAAAUACCGCCGCCGGUACUUCAGCGACCGCCGCU